ACAGAAUUGUGGUCUCAAAAAACUUGCAUAAAAGUGCAUUUUUUAGAUUGGGGGGGUGUGAAAACCCUAUUCGUGGGUACUUGUGCUCGGAAGGGCUAUGAUGAGUAUUGAAUAAUCAGACAUAGUACGAUAAGGUUGUAUGUCUAAAGGGAAACAGCCCAGAACAAGAGUUAAUAAGGUUCCAAAAUUAUUGUUAAGUGAAAAUAAGGUAGUGUUUAUCUAAUUCGUCCAGGAAAUAGGCUUAGAAGCGGCCAUUUUUUGAAGAUCUCGUAACAGAGCACUGGUUAAGUAACUCUUCUUGAAAGAGUGACAUUGAUAAAGGCACCGAAAAUUUAACGGAUCUAAACAAUAUACCGAGACCUUGUCCAUAAUAGUUAUAUAUUUUAUAAAUAUAUUAUAUUUAUGGGGUAGCAGAACAUAGGGCAAAUCUUAGACUUUUUCUUAUUAAGGAUAAAAAAUAGAUAACCCUAGAGAUAAUGCUGACAUGAGUAACGAUAAAGGGAAAACCCCUCGCCUAAAGCUUAUGGUAUUCUUAAAGUAACGGCCUCUAAGUUUAUAUUUGCUUUCUAUUAAUAGUAUUACUUUUUAAUUAAUAUAAUGAUAUUAGUUAGAUCAUACCUAGAUAAGCUGUUAGUAGUUAGCAAUUCCUAAAGGAUUAAACGAUGAGAAAAUCUAGUAGAGUUUAUUGAUAAAUAACCUUUGUGCACAAUCACCAGUCAGUAUGAGAUUGGGUUUGUGUAAAGUGACAAAGUGUUCUGGAAAAACCUUAAACUUGUGUUAAUAACCGUGCCUAGAAACUGCCMCCGGUAAGUUAGUAGAGAAUACGAAGGCGNUUGAGUGAACAAUCAUUAAGACUGG
rnacentral:rRNA from 1 species